AUUGAACGCUGGCGGCAGGCCUAACACAUGCAAGUCGAGCGGAUGAAGGGAGCUUGCUCCUGGAUUCAGCGGCGGACGGGUGAGUAAUGCCUAGGAAUCUGCCUGGUAGUGGGGGAUAACGUCCGGAAACGGGCGCUAAUACCGCAUACUUCCUGAGGGAGAAAGUGGGGGAUCUUCGGACCUCACGCUAUCAGAUGAGCCUAGGUCGGAUUAGCUAGUUGGUGGGGUAAAGGCCUACCAAGGCGACGAUCCGUAACUGGUCUGAGAGGAUGAUCAGUCACACUGGAACUGAGACACGGUCAAGACUCCUACGGGAGGCAGCAGUGGGGAAUAUUGGACAAUGGGCGAAAGCCUGAUCCAGCCAUGCCGCGUGUGUGAAGAAGGUCUUCGGAUUGUAAAGCACUUUAAGUUGGGAGGAAGGGCAGUAAGUUAAUACCUUGCUGUUUUGACGUUACCAACAGAAUAAGCACCGGCUAACUUCGUG
rnacentral:rRNA from 1 species